rnacentral:rRNA from 1 species
UACGUAGGCAGCAAGCGUUGUUCGGAAUUACUGGGCGUAAAGAGUGUGUAGGCGGUGCUCUAAGUCUGUCGUGAAAUCUCCCGGCUUAACUGGGAGGGUGCGGCGGAAACUGGAGUGCUCGAGGAUGGGAGAGGUAAGCGGAAUUCCUGGUGUAGCGGUGAAAUGCGUAGAUAUUGGGAAGAACACCGGUGGCGAAGGCGGCUAUCUGGACCGACAUUGACGCUGAUGCGCGAAAGCGUGGGGAGCAAACAGG